rnacentral:rRNA from 1 species
CUAUGCGCCUUGCCAGCCCGCUCAGGUGUGCCAGCCGCCGCGGUAAUACGUAGGUGGCAAGCGUUGUCCGGAUUUAUUGGGCGUAAAGCGAGUGCAGCGGUUCAAUAAGUCUGAUGUGAAAGCCUUCGGCUCAACCGGAGAAUUGCAUCAGAAACUGUUGAACUUGAGUGCAGAAGAGGAGAGUGGAACUCCAUGUGUAGCGGUGGAAUGCGUAGAUAUGUGGAAGAACACCAGUGGCGAAGGCGGCUCUCUGGUCUGCAACUGACGCUGAGGCUCGAAAGCAUGGGUAGCGAACAGG